UCCUGCUGCGCCCCGCCCCCGCCCCGCCCCCGUGGAAAGCUGGCCCGGGCUGGGUUCCCGCAGACCCGAGCCGAGGGGGUGGGCGGGGGCGCUGGACGCCGGGAGAGCGAGCGUGAUUGAUUGACAGAUGAGCUCGGGUCGCUAAAGUUCAGUGUCUCUGUGCGCUGAGAUUGCAGUCAAGACCUGGGGCUUUCUGGACUGUUCCGGGCGUGAACUCAAAAUUCUCGCCUAUGGCACAGUGGAAAGCUUUGAAGAUCGACGGUCUAGGGUCAGUGUUACCCUUCCGGGGAUAAGUGACCUUGGCAAGGCCACUUCCCUUUUCCCGGCCUGGUAACAUGAACUGUGGGGAGUGGUCCUAAUGGUUGCAGCAUUAUCUUAAGGCCUGUAAGGGGAGAUCUUCCUUCACCUUCUUACUACCCACUUCCUACGACAUAACAGGAAUGCAGAGGAUACAGUGCAAUGAUUAAUAAUUGCGCAGCAGGGUUGCUGAUGUAAAGCGAUUUGCAGAUCUAAAGGGCAAUAAGCAUUCCUGGGAGGAAUCCAGCAAGAUUCCAGAAGUCUCUGAGGGAGCCAUGGAUAGGGAAACUAAGGCUCAGAGAAGUUGGUUCAUCCAGCCAAACUUGCAGAGCUGGUUAGAAACAGAUAAAAGUCAGGAUUACUGGCCUCAAAUACUCCACUCAGGCUGAAUAGGAGGGCUGCUCAGACCAAGAAGACGGGUGCCCACCAGCUGCCCUCCCGCGGUGCCAGCAGGAUGAUUUGAGGGAGUGUCUGGGCUCCCUCGCCUUCCUCCUUGACUGUUCGUGGAGCGGUAGCAGCAGAACAGCAGCUCUGCCACCUGCUGGAAGUGCGAGGCAGCACUCCCUCCUCCAAUUCCAGAAACAUCGUCAGAGUGGUGCCGGCUAGGGGAAGUUUUUCUUUGUUCACUAUGAUGGAAAUAGCAAAACUUAGCAGAAAAAAAAAAAAAUUAAAUAAAAAAAACCCCAAACCAAAAC